ensembl:lncRNA
UAUCAUAGCAUCUAAAUAGACAGAAGACCUGGUUGCUAGUAGAAACCCCAAGGCAAAAAGUCACAUAGCUUUGGUGCCUUUUACGUUAUGAAGGGUUUUUGUUAAAUGGGUAGAGAUUUUAGUUCUCUGAUGAAGGGAUUAUCUCAAUAAAACUGAUUGAACCUAAGACUGAGGACUUUGGAAUACUGAAUCAUGACUUAUAUAAAUCUAUAUAAAUCAAUUUCUCUGCCAGAAAAUGAAUAACCAACUUCAUUCAAAUGCCAGUUCAACAAUUACAAAGUCUGCUAGCGGUUAAUUAAAAGCUACCAUCUCAUUAUAUUCAGAGGUUCCAUGACUAAAGAAGCAGGACAAAUUUCCAUUGACAUGGUGGAUAUUAAAUGUCUGACAGACAAUGAAUUGCAACAACAGCUUAUCAAGCACGGAUAUAAUCCAGGGCCAAUAAUACCUUCUACAAGGCAGGUUUAUGAGGAUAAACUACAAGAAUUGAUAACACAACAUAAGGCUAAGAAGAAAAGCGAAGAACUAAAUCAGGAUCUGGAAUGUGAGGGAGAUAAAGAGGAUCUUGAUGAUCGCAUUUUGGAAAGAGCCAUCACAAGAUCAUCAAGAAGAAGUAAACAAUGCAAAAAAGAGAGUUGUGCACUUGAAAAACCUGCAAAACAAAAGAGUUUUAAAUUAGAACAGAGUGUCAGUCCUUUACUUCAAUGUGGCAGAAAGUUAUCUUCAGAUUAUUCCUCGAAUGGUGAUGUUGACAUCUUUUACGCUGAUCCCUCCUCUCACACAGGAAUAAGAACUUUUAUGGCAUGAAGAGACAUUUGAAAUGAUAACAUUAAUACCCAGAAUAAAUUCCCCAAAUCAACAAUUGGGAUUCCCAAUGAAAUUUGUGGAAAGAGAAAAAAGAAAAAGAAAAAACACCAAAACCCUCAUAACAAAUAUGUCAGGCAAAACAAAUUUCCACAUUGGCCAUGUCCAAAAAUGUGUGUCUUAUUCUACAUAUUUGUUUUUCACCUAAUUGAAGAGUAAUAUCAGGAGGUGAGCAAUAUGCUUUAUCAUGAGUUCUCUAAAAUCAUAGCUACUCAUGGUAUUGAUCAAAGUUCAUAGAUCUUUCAAAAUUGUAUGUUGAAUUGUUUUAUCUUUUUCUUUCUUACUGUACAACAGCAUUUCAUUUCAUUCGUAUGAUAUGCCAUAAUAUAUUCAGCCAUUGAUAUAUCCCUUUUUAAGUUCCAAUACUUUGACAAUACAAAAAGAAUGGUUAUUAAUAUUUUUAUGCAUAUGAAUCCUUCAUCUCUUUCCUGGUUUCUCUGAAAU